UACGUAGGGGGCUAGCGUUGUCCGGAAUCAUUGGGCGUAAAGGGUGCGUAGGUGGCAUGGUAAGUCGGGUGUGAAAUUUCGGAGCUUAACUCCGAAACUGCAUUCGAUACUGCCGUGCUUGAGGACUGGAGAGGAGACUGGAAUUUACGGUGUAGCGGUGAAAUGCGUAGAUAUCGUAAGGAAGACCAGUGGCGAAGGCGGGUCUCUGGACAGUUCCUGACGCUGAGGCACGAAGGUCAGGGGAGCAAACGGG
rnacentral:rRNA from 1 species